CCUCCUCCUCUUCCUCCUCCAUCUUUCUCCGCAGCCGAACUCUCUUGUGGUGAUUCCUUAGAUUUCAUGAUGGCAUAGACGAUAGCAAGAUCGUGGACAUGCUUUCCACAGGCUUUCUUGAACUGUGAACUCUCCGUGGUCCUUUUUCGCUUCCUUGAUCCUUUCUUCCCGAGGAAGAACUCCAAGGAAGAAGAAGAGGAGGAGUAGGAGGAGGAGGAGGGGAUGGUGACCGCCGUUGAUAGUUCAAGAAAGCCCGUGGAAACCGUGACAGAUCUUUCCGAGUCUUGGAUGUAGGUUUUGUAUGAUUUCUUCCGCUCGCUGAAUUAGUGUGUUCUGUGUUGAUUGGGUGGGAAUCGUACUGGAACAACUGAUUACAUGUUUCACAUAUCCCAAUUGUGCGAUUGCCUGUUAUGAAUCGAUUGAAUUCUGAUUUAAGUAGUUGUUUUCCUCAUCUGGAAGAUGCUUUCUUUUGAGAUCUUGCCUUCUUUGAUAAGCAACUGGUCUUGUUUUUGUUGCAGAAUUGGAGAAUACGGAGCUAAAAGCCCCAGAAGCAUUGUAGGAUUCAGCAAGGCUGAGAUGAUGUGUGCACUAAAAGGUUGCCAGAAGUCAAACCAAGACUCAUGCUGCUCCACUCCAACUAUUGACAUGUUCCAUGAAACAAGAAAUUAAAUCCAGGCAAUGGCAGUGUCUUUGAUGGCUUUGAAGAAGAAUAGCCAGAACACAAGGCAGAUGGAUCAAUUUAUUGUGGACUCAAUGCUUAUGGUGCAAAAUGCUAGUUUUUAUUUUGAGACAAAGGACCAGCGACCAUUCCAGCUCAGAGAUGAAAAGGCAGGACAGUAAGGAGUGCCAUCUCAGUUGUGGGAGGACUUGGUGGGGAUACUGUGGCACCAAGAGACAAGAUACAGCAAGAUGGCACAAUUUCAUAGCUGAAAACCUCAACAUACAUAUACCAUUAUCUGUUCGUCUUUCGUGACAAUUACUUGGCUUCUAACUCGAACAAAGAUCCAUUGCUCACUAACAGCAGGUUUACAUUUUUGGCUCCAGGAGGAGGAAGAAGAGAGAUUAAUUAUUUUGGAUCAAUGACAUAUGAUAAAAUUAAUGGAUUGUGGAUUCGAUUCGAGAACCCCAUGUAUAGCGGAAUCUCGUGAACGGGGAUUGUAAUUAAAUCCAGGGGAUGGCAGCGUCUUUGAUGGCUUUGAAGAAGAAUAGACAGAACACAAGGCAGAUGGAUCAAUUUAUUGUGGACUCAAUGCUUAUGGUGCAAAGUGCAAGUUUUUUGUUUUUGUGAGACAGAGGACCAGCGACCAUUCCAGCUCAGAGAUGAAAAUGCAGGACAGUAAGGAGUGCCAUCUCAAUCGUGGGAGGACAUGGUGGGGAUACUGUGGCACCAAGAGACAAGAUACAGCAAGAUGGCACAUUUCCAUAGCUGAAAACCUCAACAUACAUGUACAUGCAUUAUCUGUUCGUCUUUCCUGACUCAUACUUAGCUUCUAACUCGAACAAAGAUCCAUUGCUCACUAACAGCAUGUUUACAUUUUUGGCUCCAGGAGGAGGACGAAGAGAGAUUAAUUAUUUUGGAUCAAUGACAUAUGAUCAAAUUAAUGGAUUCGAUUCGAGAAUCCCAUAUAUAUAGCGGAAUCUCGUGAACGGGGAUUGUAAUGGUGAUCCGAUGGUCCAAAGCCGGGAUGAAUCGGUAAAAAGAUCCACCCUACUUGCGCAGGGUCGAUGGGCGAAUCGCUCGAAUAACGGCAUCCGCGUCUUGAUUUCCUUUCUCUUCCCUCGUUUGGUCAUCCCACUUGAUAUCGGCCUCAACCUCACCUGAGAAGAUCAUGGCCGAGGAUAUAUGGAUUGGAGGAUCGGGCAUGGAAUAAGGUGCAAAGUUAGGGUUUGUACUCGUGUCUCACUGAUGAUGCAAAUAUAUCGGUAUGUAGGAGUCCUGGUAAUAAUUUUUCACCUAGUAUUCAAUUGUUCGCUUUCUGUUUAGCUGUCAAAUUAGAAAAGAAAGAAUGAUGCUGCUCGUUGCCAAAGAGAUGGAUCAUAUUUCUGACGAGACAUGGUGUGGAUCAUAUUUCAGAUAAUUCUGGCUGGUUUAUUGCCCUUCCUAAAUCUUAUCCAAGGAACGUAGUAGAUCUUAAUAUUUCACUUUCUUUUUGUUGGCGAAAUCAGUUUUCCGGCUUCAAUGAUGGUAUUUCUUAUGCUCUUUCCUCCUUCCAAGUCUUCUUUUCAUUCAAAUAUUACAUGGCAAGCAUGUUUGAUGUUUAUACAACAACACUCUGACUAAACUAAAAUAUCUCUUUUAAGAGAUUUUCCGAAUCUUAAUGCGUUGACAAGAAUAAUUCAGGAUGCACAUGUUGUGACCUCACUGAUAGCUGUGACCACCAUACCUGCAAGUGUUGAUACCCAGGGACACAUUA